UGUAUCGCCGCUACGGCGGGAAACCAUACCUUUUCCCCCAAAACCUCCCUCCAAAAACACCACUCUCUCCCUCAAAUUCCAAUACCCGAUUCUCUCGAACCCUAAACAUCCCAAUUCCAAUCCCAAAUCCCAAUUCAGCUCAAAAUCUUCCCAUUUCACACAAAACUAGUGAAUAAAUUCAACUUGUAUUCCCCAAUUCAAUGGCGUUUCCUAUCGACGGAGACGCAAAACCUAAUCAAUAUCAGCAGCAGGUUGAUGACGUAGACGAUGAUAGAGACGAUAGAGUGACGCCGUUAAAAUACGUUCCGUUGUGCGAUGUUUACUCCGCUACUUCACCUUACGUCGGCGGCGCUACUGGAUCCAAAAAAGUUAAAGCCGCUCGCAAAAUCCUCCCACAUUUCGACACCGACGACGAUCGCACCAAGUAUUAUUCACACACACAGCACAUUUACUCAAUGUCCGCAACGAAACCACCGGUUACUCACUUCUACACUCGCCGCCGUAAAAGGAAACGACAGGAUGAACCCUCGUUUUACGACUCUUUAGUGAACGAGUCUGGAUCAGUGAACUUAGGUAGUUGCAAUGGCGAUGUGGGUGAAGAUGAGGGCGAAGAAGAGGAAGCUGGUAGAAAGUAUAAGGAGGAGCAGAAGAGGAAAGUGAGUGUGAAAUUAGGGAAUUUCUCCAAUGGCAAUAGAGAAAAUGAGGGCGAAGACAAGGAAAUGGUUGUAAAGAAUAAGGAAAAGCAGAAGAAGAAAGUGGGCAAUUCAAAGCUAGGAUUUCGGCCCGUGAAAAUAGGGAAUUUUGUGAAUGGAGAUAGAGAAGAUGAGGGCGAAGACACGGAAAAGGUUGUAAAGAGUAAGGGGAAACAGAAGAGAAAAGUGUUCAAUUCAAAGCUUGCUUCUCGGUCAGCUAAAUUAGCCAAUUUAUGGAAUGAGGACAGAGAAGACAAAGGCGAAGAUGAGGAAAUGGUUAUAAUGAUUAAGGAGAAGCAGAAAUUAGCCAAUUUUACGACUGACAAUAGAGAAGACCAGGGGGAAACUGAGGGCGAAGAAGACAAAGUGGUUAUAAAGAACACGGAGAAGAGGAAGGUGGGGACUUUAGAAGUAGUGAAUAUGUGUGUCAAGAAUGAGAGGGACAAUGAGGGAGAAGAUGAUGAAGUAGUGGUUGUGAAGCAUAAUAAGAAGAAGAAGGAGAAGAAGAGGAGGAAGGUGGGUAGUUCGGAGCUGGCAAAUUUGGGAGUGGAUGAUAGUGUUAUGUUGAAUGAGUCUUGUUUGAGAGAAACUCGAAAUAGUGCUUGUAAAAAUAAAAUUGAUACCAAUCGCAGUAAUAAUCACUGUAAAGAUUUUAACUUUAGGGGUAACAACAUUAAGAAGCGAAAAGAAAAUUCUGUUUUGGAGAAUCACUUGAGUAGCAAAAGCUCAGGGUCAAUUCGCACCAAGAAAUGGGUUUGGUUGAGUUUUGAAGGAGUUGAUCCGAAGAAAUUUAUUGGACUACAAUGUAAGGUGUAUUGGCCAUUAGAUGCUGAUUGGUACUCUGGUCGUGUAAUUGGGUACAACUCUGAGAUUGGACGGCAUCAUGUGAAAUAUGUAGAUGGGGAUGAAGAGCAUUUGCUUUUAUCAAAUGAAAGGGUCAAGUUUUCUGUUUCACUUGAGGAGAUGAGCCGUUUGAAGUUGAGAUCCAUUGAUACGAGUCCUGAAACUGAUGGAAUUGAUGUUGAUGAGAUGGUUGUAUUAGCUGCUACUUUGGAUGACUGCGAAGCUCUUGAGUCUGGAGAUAUUAUAUGGGCCAAGCUGACUGGUCAUGCCAUGUGGCCGGCUAUUGUUCUGGAUGAAUCUCUUGCUGGUGGGCGUAAAGGUCUAAACAAAGUUUCAGGGGAAAAAUCAGUUCUUGUGCAGUUUUUUGGCACCCAUGAUUUUGCUAGGGUUAAAUUAAAGCAAGUUAUCUCUUUCCUGAGAGGGCUUCUUUCUUCAUUUCACCUCAAGUGCAAAAAGCCAAAAUUUGUUCAAGGUUUGGAGGAAGCAAAAAUGUAUCUUACUGAACAAAAGCUCUCAAAGAGGAUGCUGCGGAUACAGAAUCGUAUCGCUGCUGAUAACAAUACUGAAAGCGAAGAAGGUGAAGGCAGUUCUGAUUCAGAGGAUGAAGGGUUGAGGAGAAAGCUUGAGGAUAUCAGAAGUUGCCCAUUUGAAUUGGGGGACUUGCAAGUAGUUAGCCUUGGGAAAAUAGUAGAAGAUUCAGAGCUCUUUCGAGAUGAGAAAUUUAUCUGGCCAGAAGGCUAUACUGCUGUGAGGAAGUUCCCUUCGGUAACAGAUCCCGGUGUACGUGUCUCGUAUAAGAUGGAGGUACUGAGAGAUCCUGAUUUCAGGACACGGCCUUUAUUUAGAGUUACGUCAGAUAGUGGAGAACAGUUUAAGGGAUCUACACCAUCUGCUUCCUGGAAUAAAGUUUACAAACGGAUGAGAAAGACACAAGUUGACAAUUUUGAUGAGUCAAUAUCUGGCGGUGAAAGUGAAAGGACUUUCGGAUCGGGUUCACAUAUGUUUGGCUUUUCUCAUCCUGAAAUUUUGAAACUUAUAAAGGAAUUAUCAAACUCCAGGCUUCUUGCAAAAUCCUUGAAAUUGGCGUCUUCGAAAAAUCAAGAUCUGCCUGCUGGAUAUAGGCCUGUCCGUGUUAAAUGGAAAGAUCUGGACAAAUGCAACGUUUGCCAUAUGGAUGAGGAGUAUGAGAAUAAUUUAUUUUUGCAGUGUGAUAAAUGCCGAAUGAUGGUCCACGCUAGAUGCUAUGGGGAGAGGGAGCCUAUGGAUGGAGUACUUUGGUUAUGCAAUUUGUGUCGUCCAGGAGCUCCAGUAGUCCCUCCCCCCUGUUGCCUGUGCCCUGUUAUCGGUGGUGCUAUGAAGCCUACUACUGAUGGACGUUGGGCUCAUCUUGCUUGUGCCAUUUGGAUACCAGAAACUUGCUUAUCUGAUAUAAAGAGAAUGGAGCCAAUUGAUGGUUUGAGCAGGAUCAGCAAGGACCGCUGGAAGCUCUUGUGUAGUAUUUGUGGUGUUCCUUAUGGAGCUUGCAUUCAGUGCUCAAACCAUACAUGUCGGGUGGCUUAUCAUCCUCUUUGUGCACGAGCUGCUGGCUUCUGUGUCGAGCUUGAGGAUGAAGACAGAUUGCAUUUAAUCCCUAUGGAUGAGGAUGAGGAGGAUCAGUGCAUUCGGUUGCUUUCUUUCUGCAAGAAGCAUAGAGCUGUAUCUAAUGAGCGUCCUGCUGUUGAUGAGUGGGUUGCACAAAAAGCUUGUGAACAUUCAGAUUAUACUCCUCCACCAAAUCCUUCUGGAUGUGCUCGCAGUGAGCCUUACAAUUAUUUUGGAAGAAGAGGAAGAAAAGAACCUGAAGUCCUUACAGCUGCAUCAUUGAAGCGCUUGUAUGUUGAAAAUAGGCCAUAUUUGGUUGGUGGCCACAGCCAACAUGAGCAAUUGAGUGAUACAUCAUCUUCCUCAUUUGCUGGUUCCAAAUACACCAUUGACCUUCAAAAGCUAAAGUGUUCGUUGCUUGAUGUGUCAAGGAGCAUACUUUCCAUGGUUGAGAAAUACAACUACAUGAAAGAAACCUUUAGAAAAAGGCUGGCAUUUGGGAAAUCCGGAAUACAUGGAUUUGGCAUCUUUACCAAGCUUCCUCAUAAAGCGGGGGACAUGGUAAUUGAGUACACUGGAGAACUUGUUAGACCUCCUAUUGCUGACCGAAGGGAGCACCUUAUUUACAACUCACUGGUGGGUGCUGGAACAUACAUGUUUCGAAUUGAUGAUGAGCGUGUUAUAGAUGCAACAAGGGCUGGAAGCAUUGCACAUUUGAUCAAUCAUUCAUGUGAACCAAAUUGCUAUUCAAGAGUUAUAAGUGUCAAUAACGAUCAACAUAUAAUCAUAUUUGCCAAACGAGAUAUUAAACAAUGGGAAGAGUUGACAUAUGAUUACAGAUUCUUUUCUAUCGAUGAACAACUUGCGUGUUAUUGUGGCUUCCCAAGAUGCCGAGGUGUAGUAAAUGAUACCGAAGCUGAGGAACGAAUGGCAAAGCUGUAUGCACCACGCAACGAGUUAAUAGACUGGGGAGGAGAAUAAAGAGACCAAUCUUCAGAAGCUGGAUUUGUUGUUUCGAUGCAGCGUGGAAUCUGCCAUCUGGAUAUCUCGUCAUGCCAUUUUAAAGGCUGUAUUUUGUGACCUUCCUUUUAAUUGAAGUCUGUCUUCUUGGUGCUGUCUUUAGCUGGAGUGAGAGUUGCACCGGGAGAUUGAAGAAUGGAUGAUAAAUUAUAGUGAUACAGCAAGACCACGUAGAUGGUGAAAUACUUUUCGAUGGUUGAGAGUGGAGUAUCAAAAACUUACUUUCUCAAGAAUGUCCAUUUUAAUGCCACAGGGUACGAAAUCUGAACCAAAUCACUGGAGCAUGGUGCCUCAAAUCUCUUCAUAUGGUCAGAUUGCGUAGAUAAUUGAAGAAUGCUAGAGGAAGAGACACGAAGAAUGUUGGAGGAAGGUGAAGAACAUUGCUCAUAUUGUUCGAUAGCUUCAAAAGUUCAUCAGACAAAAGAUACUUCUAUGAAUCAUGAAAGUGUAAGCUACAUCGACACAGUUUAUAAAAAUGAUCAUCGAGGCUCUCACUGGUCUACGAAAUACAUGUUCAGUGCAUUCAAUUUGUAUUCAUCAAAUGGAGAGGGUUGAUUUAUUGUGUGAAUAGACAACAACAACAAACCCGGUAGUUUCCCACGAGUGGGGUCUGGGGUAUUGUGUGAAUAGAGUACAUUAGAAAUGUAAUAUAGAAUAAUGUGUAUAAGUGUCUCACAUCAGGUGAUAUAACCAUAUAAAUUGAGAAGUGUGAAUCUAAAAGGAUUCAAGCGUAAGAACAGUGUUGAGUUGUCCCACAUCGGAGGGAUUUGAGGUCCUUGGUCUCCUUAUAUGACUUGGGCAAUCCUCACCUCAUAAGCUAACUUUUGGGGUUGAGUUAGGCCCAAUGUCCAUUCUUAUCAAACGGUAUCUUUGCUCAUACUUUCAAUCUAUUCUUCUGUGUAUCUUCUCACAUUCAAAUUAUCAGUUGGUCAUGUUUAUGUAAAAUCCAUCUCAUAUUCAAAUAGAAAAUUCUGGCCAACUUGAGAAGAUUGUAUGAAAAGGAUGUUGUAUUAGCUUUCAGUUUGUUAGUUUGACAACUGUAACUAAAGUAGCUUACUAGUUAAUCAAGAAGAUUGUGUAGCUAAUAUCAGUGUCUCUAUUUACUUAAUUUAU